rnacentral:lncRNA from 1 species
CAAGGGGGUCCCCACGCAAUGUCGACAAUACGAUGCAUAUACGGUACAGUACCAUACAUACAUACCAUACAUACAGUUGUAGCCUAUGUGAUGGUCUGCUAUUGACUGAUUUAUUGUGUUGUUUGUCACUAUGUCCAACAGUCUCACGGUGUUCCUGUAUUUGAAAGUGUUUGUGUUAGGGAAAGACAAAGUGUGCGUUGCUCUGUACCCCUUGUAACCUGUACCCCUGCACAUUGACUCGGUACCCCAUGUAUAUAGCCUCAUUAUUCUUAUUUUAUAGUGUUACUUUUCUAUUAAUUUUUUUAUUUUUUUUUUACUUUAGUUUAUUUAAUAAAUAUUUCCUUCCCUCCAUUUUCUUAAAAUUGCAUUGUUGGUUAAGGGCUUGUAAGUAAGAAUUUCACAGUAAGGUCUACACCUGUAUUCUGUGCAUGUGACAAAUAACAUUUGAUUUUGAUUUGAUAUAUGACAUUUAGCAGACGCUUUUGUCUAAAUUCACUUACACUCAUGCGUGCAUACAUUUUACAUAUGGGCGCUGCCGGAAAUCGAACCCAUUAUCCUGGUGUUGUUCUACCAACUGAGCUACAGAGGACCACACUGAGCUACAGAGGACCACUGUGCAUGUGUCUCUGCACAGUGCAGUAAGGGAGUGGGAGAGCAGAUCUCUUAUGGGAACAGGAAUAAAGGGAAUAAAGGUGGCUUGGAGUCCCAGGUGGUAAACCAAUGGCACAAAUAGCAGAACAGCCACAUCUCUCAUUUCC